UACGAGGGGGCAAUGUUGUUCGGAAUUACUGGGCGUAAAGCGUGCGCAGGCGGUUGUGCAAGACAGAUGUGAAAUCCCCGGGCUCAACCUGGGAAUUGCAUUUGUGACUGUACGGCUAGAGUGUGUCAGAGGGGGGUAGAAUUCCACGUGUAGCAGUGAAAUGCGUAGAGAUGUGGAGGAAUACCGAUGGCGAAGGCAGCCCCCUGGGUCAGAUGACGCUCAUGCACGAAAGCGUGGGGAGC
rnacentral:rRNA from 1 species